rnacentral:misc_RNA from 1 species
CUGCUGUGUUGCGAUGGUUCUUACUGCAAGGAAUAAUGAAGAGUGACUUCUCAUUUGGACAUUGCCUGUGCUUGGAGAAGAAUUCUUUACACUCUUCUGCUGUUCUCUGAUUUGGAAGGUCUAAAAUGCAGUUCUUUCUAACAUCAAGUCUCUUCAACCGAAACAACUUCCUGCACUCAGGUCCGACCUGAGUGAAAUAGUUGCCUGAUAAUGACAAGUUUUGCAGAUUUGGAAGCUUGCACACCAUCUCCGGCACCGGCCCGUAAAACUCAUUCGUUGCCAGGUUCAGGAU